UACUGUUUAUGAUGAAGUAAAUCAAUGGGAAUCUCUCUGAAAAAAAGAUGGAGAUGGAUUUUAUUACUGAAACAGUA